AAAAAAGGGGGGGGGGCGGCCUUAUUCCAGCCCAUUAAAUAUUAUCAUUUGGGCCCAAUAAAUUAAAGCGGGUCUGAUCAACGACAGCCCACAUCCACAUCCUAUAAAAUAUCCGUUCGAAAUUCGAUUUCAAAUCACAACCCAUUCAAAAUUUAAUUUCGAAUUUCGAGUUCUCAACCAAUUCCCAAAACAUCCUCCAACAACCCAUUCAAAAUUCUAUUUCGAAUUUCGAAUCCAUAACCAAUUCCCAAAAUAUCAUCCAACAACCCAUUCGAAAUUCGAUUUCGAAUUUCGAAUUCCAAACCAAUUCCCAAAAUAUCAUCCAACAACCCAUUCGAAAUUCGAUUUCGAAUUUCGAAUUCCCAACCAAUUUCCAAAACAUCCUCCCACAAUCCAUUCAAAAUUCGAUUUCGCCUUUCGAAUUCCCAACCAAUUCCCAAAAUAUCCUCCAACAAUCCAUUCAAAAUUCGAUUUCGAAUUUCGAAUCCCUAACCAAUUCCCAAAAUAUCCUCCAACAACCCAUUCAAAAUUCGAUUUCGAAUUUCGAAUUCUCAACCAAUUCCCAAAAUAUCCUCCAACAACUCAUUCAAAAUUCGAUUUCGAAUUUCGAAUUUCCAACCAACUCCCAAAAUAUCCUCCAAAAAAAUAUUUAAAAUUCGAUUUCGAAUUUCGAAUUUCCAACCAACUCUCAAAAUAUCUUCCACAAAUCAUUCAAAAUUUGAUUUCGAAUUUCAAAUCAAUCCUCAAAAUACCCUCCAACCAUCCAAGUUACCCAUUCAAAAUUCGAUUUCGAAUUUUGAAUUUCCAAUCAAUCCUAAAUAUCUUUCAACCAACCACAACAACCUAUUCAAAAUUCAAUUUUGAAUUUCGAAUCCCUGAAAAUAUCUCUCACCACCUCUCCCAUUAUAAAUACGAGAAUCGAGAUCAAUACGGAGGACGAUACGAUUUUAUGGAGAGAAAAAAAAAAGAUAGAUUGCUACACACGUUCUGACGUACAAAAAAAUUCUAAGAAUGAGAGAUCGCCGAGCCGUGGAAAGGAUGAGAGAUCGCCGAGCCGCGUAAAGGAGGAGAGAUCGCCGAGCCGCGGAGAGGAGAGAUCGCCCAGCCGCGAAGAGGAGAUGAGAGAUCGCCAAGCUGCGGAAAGGAGAAGAGAUCGCCAAGCCGCUUCAUCCAAUCUGCCAUCUGCUCAACAGGUAAAGAAAAAAAAAAGAAAAAAGAAAGAAAGAAAGAAAGAAAGAAAGAAAGAAAGAAAACAGAGAAAACAAAAUCAAGCGUAUCAAAAAAUAAUAAUAAUAUAUAUAUAAAAAAAGAUCUCUUUACUUCCUCCCUUCUUUUUUUUUCUUUCUUU
rnacentral:lncRNA from 1 species